AUCUAUCCGUGGGGGUGCUCUUUUAUAAAGGGCUGAGAAAUACCCCUCGAACCUGAUCCGGGUAAUGCCGGCGAAGGGAACGGGUGAGUAAAAAGC
rnacentral:ncRNA from 2 species